rnacentral:rRNA from 1 species
UACGUAGGGACCGAGCGUUGUCCGGAAUCAUUGGGCGUAAAGAGCGUGUAGGCGGCUUGUUAAGUCUUGCGUGAAAUCUCGGGGCUCAACCCCGAGCGGUCGUGAGAAACUGUCAGGCUAGAGCACAGUAGAGGCAGGUGGAAUUCCCGGUGUAGCGGUGGAAUGCGUAGAGAUCGGGAAGAACAUCAGUGGCGAAGGCGGCCUGCUGGGCUGUUGCUGACGCUGAGGUGCGAAAGCGUGGGGAGCAAACAGG